UACGUAGGGGGCAAGCGUUGUCCGGAUUUAUUGGGCGUAAAGAGCGUGUAGGCGGCCUGACAGGUCUGCUGUGAAAACUCGAGGCUCAACCUCGAGAUGUCGGCGGAAACCGUCUGGCUAGAGUCCGGAAGAGGAGAGUGGAAUUCCUGGUGUAAGCGGUGAAAUGCGCAGAUAUCAGGAAGACACCUAUGGCGAAGGCAGCUCUCUGGGACGGUACUGACGCUGAGACGCGAAAGCGUGGGGAGCGAACAGG
rnacentral:rRNA from 1 species